rnacentral:rRNA from 1 species
CCUACGGGAUGCAGCAGUGAGGAAUAUUGGUCAAUGGGCGGAAGCCUGAACCAGCCAAGUAGCGUGCAGGAUGACGGCCCUACGGGUUGUAAACUGCUUUUAUACGGGAAUAACGCGCCUUACGUGUAGGGCUUCGCAUGUACCGUAUGAAUAAGGACCGGCUAAUUCCGUGCCAGCAGCCGCGGUAAUACGGAAGGUCCGGGCGUUAUCCGGAUUUAUUGGGUUUAAAGGGAGCGUAGGCCGCAUGUCAAGCGUGCUGUGAAAUGUCCGGGCUCAACCCGGGGCUUGCAGCGCGAACUGGCGUGCUUGAGUCCGCGGAAGGCAGGCGGAAUUCGUCGUGUAGCGGUGAAAUGCUUAGAUAUGACGAAGAACCCCGAUUGCGAAGGCAGCUUGCUGCAGCGGAACUGACGCUGAUGCUCGAAAGCGCGGGUAUCGAACAGGAUUAGAUUACCCGAGUAGUC